rnacentral:lncRNA from 1 species
UUCCUCUCACUUCUAAAAGUGCAUUAGCAGGUAAGCAAAAGUCUUCACCUUACUUAUUUCUAAUUGCACUUUAAUCCCUUCUCAGAAGGAAUGAAAAUAGAAGCUUCAUUAAUUCUCACCUGUGCCUCAGUGAAAGCUCAUACUAAAGCAAGAAAUGCCUCCUAUUUCCCAAAGGAAUUCAAUCAUUCUCCUCCCACUCCUUUCCAUUUCCCAAUGGUAACAGCACUUAUCUCAUUUAAUGGACUGUUGUAUUUAUUAUGCCCUCUUCUUUUCUAUUUAUGACUGUUAUUCAAAGGAUAGUAAAAUAUAGAUAUCUUCUCAGUUCAAGGGUAUGGACUCAGUUUGGGCUCUCUCAAAGUUAGAAGAACCUAGACACUACAAUGUUUAUUUUGGCCUUGGUGCAUCAAACUUUUACUUGUGUGAUUUUCCUCAGAACCAGCCCAGGAAUUAAAUAUAAUUUUUCUUAUCUAGAUUUUUACCUUUCCAUAAUAAUUUAGUAGAGUCUUACCUGAUUUGAGAAUAUAUGUAUGUGUGUAUGUGUAUAUACAAAUAAAUAUAUACACACAGAGAGGAGAGAGAUCAAACAAUUAUAUUAUAAUUGAUUUCUAUGUAAUCUGGAAGAUAGAACAAUGGAAUAGUCCAUAUUUUCCAGAAAUAGGGAAGCAUUUAAAAAUGAAAUCUCCUUCUUUCUUACCCCCCAAAUAAAAAUGUAUGUACGUAUAUGUUAUAUAUGUAUAUGCACAUGCAUACAUAUGAAAAAUCUCUAGCCAAUUUUGGCAACUUUGUAAAUGCCUUUGGCCAAGGCUAUGAGGUCCAGUCUCCUGAACUUGUUUGUUGAGUCCUGAACUCAUAUCUGUUAGUGCCAGUUCUCUGUAGCUUUGAUAUCUCAUAAUUUCUGCUCUGGCCAGAUUGGGGGUUUUUGUUUAUUUGUUUUUUUAUUUUUCUACUAGAAAGAAAAGUAUGUUUUUAUGGAAAAUUAUGUACCUUUCUCAGAAGCUAUUUAUUAAAAGAGAAGGAAUUUUACAUAGAAAAUGAGAGUAAUGAUGGAUUUCAUGAAGUAUGUUAUUUUAAACAAAUAAUUCAAAGUAAAAAGUCUGUAUGAGGUCAUCAGAUGUUGAAACUAGAAAUGGGCCUAUUUAUCAAAGAUAGUAGGUGAAGUAUGGUGAGCAUAUUCAACAGUAAUUGAGAGCUACCCUUUUUUUUUGUUUUAAAAUUUGAAGGAAUAAAUGUUUCUCUAGUUUCCUCUGAAUUUCUAGAUCCAAACAGUUUUCAAAGCCUCAAACCAAUAAGAUUGUUUUUGAAUAUCUAGAGAGACCUCUGCUUUGUUCUUCUAAAUGUAUUGGUCCCAAAAUUAAAAUGGUAGCCUGUUCCUUAAAUAUAUUAGUCUAAUGUGCUACAUUAACUUUGUUUUAACCAUGGCAUAGAUAUACCUGGUAUUUUAUAUCAAUCCUUCAGGAAGAUAUGAUGGAACUAGAGAACUUCAGAAAAGCACUGCCAAAAUGGCAAAUGAAAUAUAGCAGGUUUCAUGAAUAUAUAUAGACUCAAAAUUCAAGACAAGUUGAACAUAGACAUAGUCAUAAAAUUGAAGAAUAUUAGAAUGGUAAGCACCCUUAAAUGUUUAUAUUAGAAUGUUAGAAUACAUUAUAAAAUGUUACAACUGGAAGGGUCAUCUUGAAGACUUAUUUUGUCCAAAACUUUCACCACCAUUGAUUGUAAUUUUAUAGAUGAGGAAACUAAAGCCACAAGAGUAGAGAUGAUCCCUAGGCCAAACAAUGACAGCUAGAGUUUAGACUUUGUUAAUUGGAGUUUGAAGACCCUGCUCUGAAUUUUGUAAGUUUUGUGGCAUUGGUCAAGUCACAGCAUCUGAGUUUCACCCAUUUCCUCAUCUGUAGAGUGGAGAUGUGGCUGAACAGCACUUCUUAAACCAUAAAAUACUAUGAGAAUAUGAGUGUUUCCAUGACUACUGCUUUUUAAAAACAGCUUUAUGUUGCAAGAUUAAACAUAAGAAUUUCAUUAUCUUAACAAGUCAUAAGGGUUGAAAAUAAAGCAAUCAAAAAAGUUUUGAUGAAUCCAUGUAUGAUAAUCGACUAUCAAUCUAAGGGAAUGGUUAGUGCACAUCCUUAAUUUUUUAAAGACCAAAAUCUCAUGAUUAACAUGAGUGAUUACUAUAUAAAACAAUUCACCUCUCUAGGCCUCAGUACCCUUAUCUGUAAAAUGAUUGGGCCAAAUUAGAUGAUUCCUAAGGUUCCUGCCAGCCACAAUAUUUUAUGAUUCUUUCAUAAAAUGUCCCUUGAUGCCAUUUGGUAUCCAAAAUAACAAAUGGAUCAUGGGUCUGACCCUGUAUAUUAUUUCUUGUGUUCUUAUGAACCAAGGAAUUUUAAAAGUAUAAUGCAAGUAGAAAUUAAUUUGUCUUGCUCUGAAAUCUUCGAUCAGCAUUUCCUCUUCCCUAAUUGCUACUAUUUGCCCAGAAUGGAAAUAAAGGAAAUGCUGUAGUCUGUUGUUCUCCAUAAGACUUUUUAAUACAAAAAAAAAAAAAAGGUAGGAAGAAAUUAGGGGACCAGAGUGGAGUAGAGAUAAUUAAUUGGAGAGUAGCACCCCAUGAACUGCUUGGAGGAAGAGGGUUUGCUCUAUAUCUUUGGGGGAACCUAACCUCUAAACGAGUGAGUAAAAUAUCAGAAUUAUGAGAAUUAGAAACAACCAGAACAUCCUUUAAUUGGAUUGAAUAAUAGAAGACUUUCAUUAGACCUUGAAAAGCCUUAUCAGGCUAAUAUUGCUUGGCCCCAAAUUAUUUAUAUAUUCCUAUAAAAAUGUUUAAGAUGGAGAAGAGAGGUAAAUAUACUUGGCAUUUUUGUAUGAAAAGUAAAACCAAAAGAUUUUGCUCUGCCAAACUAUCUUUUUACCUUGCCUUGCCUACCUUCUUACCCGAGUGAAAGUAUAUCUUUUGCCUCUGUAGCAUCAAGAUUAUUAAAAAAUGAGAUAUAUAAUUAGUUAACAUCCUAUGAUUCUUUCAAAAGUGUUGCAUAUUAUUUAAGUCUUAGAAGCUCAAAUCAGAGGACUUGGGUUCUAGAACUGCCUCAAAUCCCUAGACCUCAGUUCUCUCAUCUAUAAAAUGAGAGGUUUGGAAUAAAUCAACUGUGAAUUUCCUUCCAGGUCUUUAUAAAUCUGAAAAUUCUUCAACCAACCAAUCUCUUAGAAAUACUCUCCAUUUUUUUUUUAAAGCUACAAACAUCUCACCAAGGGCCAGCUACAAAAUAUCAUUUCUUUUUUCACUUGUGAUAUGCUUAGGCAUGUUUUGAAUUAAUUUUAAUUGACUUGAAACUGUUCAAACCCAGUAAAGAGUCCCUGUCUCUGCUUCUCUUCCCUAUUUACUUUCUGCCUCUGGUGUUAUCUUGGACACCCAUUCUAGCCAAACUGUGAUUUCAUGAAGCCUUAAGCACCAUCGCCUCACCUCAGAGUGCUUUAGGGCCAGCUGUACAUAUACCAUAUAGUGUCUUAUGGAAAGGUUAAUGAAAACAUUAACUGGAAACAUGCAGAAGUCCUCUCAGAAGCUUAUAGCCAUAUAGAUAUAGGAAUCCAAGUGUUCCAAAGUGAAACAGGUUCCUAAGAGCGCCAGGACAACCAAAAUUGAAAUCAAGUAGACAUUUAAUCUUUAUUUCCAAUGGCUGACAGAUCCUGGAAGGUUGCUUUGGUACUUUAAUGGGAUAAAUUAGAAAGAGAAAAAUUCUGAUAAGGGGUGACUUAGCUGUAUGCCUCUUGCAUACAUCUUGGCAUAGUGAAAGGUUUUGUGAUCAAAAGACUUAGGCAGGAAUCUCAGCUCUAUCACUUUUUCCCUAAGUGACUUUGAAAAAGCCACUUCUUCCCUAAUUCCUCAGUCCCCUUAUUUGCAAAAUAAGGGUAUUGGCUAGAUGAUUUCUAAGGCCUUCUCAAGCUCUGAAUCUUCCUGAUAUUAUCUUGUCUGUAACAAAUUCUAAACCAUCAGAAUGGCUGAGACUAAAGUCUCAUUUUAGCUGCUCUUACACUUGUUCAUCAUUUAUUUUCACUUCAUGUAACUACUUGCACUAUUGUAAUUGAUUUUAUGUAAUAAGCAGUUUAAUUUUUGUAUAUGUGCAUAUACAAUAAAGUCUACACACUGGCCAUCUUUGUAGAAAUGGAAUUUGUUUGUUUUCACAUUCCUAUUGAGGAUAAUGAGUGAUGCCAAUUUUUGUUAAUAGAAAUGAACUGUUAAUAAAAAGUUUUCAAAGUUGAUUUUUUUGUUGAAAUUUGAUGUGGAU